rnacentral:rRNA from 1 species
GACGAACGCUGGCGGCGUGCUUAACACAUGCAAGUCGAACGGAAAGGCCCUGCUUUUGUGGGGUGCUCGAGUGGCGAAUGGGUGAGUAACACGUGAGUAACCUGCCCUUGACUUUGGGAUAACUUCAGGAAACUGGGGCUAAUACCGGAUAGGAGCUCCUGCUGCAUGGUGGGGGUUGGAAAGUUUCGGCGGUUGGGGAUGGACUCGCGGCUUAUCAGCUUGUUGGUGGGGUAGUGGCUUACCAAGGCUUUGACGGGUAGCCGGCCUGAGAGGGUGACCGGCCACAUUGGGACUGAGAUACGGCCCAGACUCCUACGGGAGGCAGCAGUGGGGAAUAUUGCACAAUGGGCGGAAGCCUGAUGCAGCAACGCCGCGUGCGGGAUGACGGCCUUCGGGUUGUAAACCGCUUUCGCCUGUGACGAAGCGUGAGUGACGGUAAUGGGGAAAGAAGCACCGGCUAACUACGU